GUUUUUCUUCUUGCAUAAAUUAUCUUAUCUCCCAACAGAUUUGUUGGGUUGGUGUGGUUGUUAGUCUUAGUUUUAGCCGUGGCUAUGAAAUUUUGUUGAGAAGUAGGCAAACAUAGAAGCUGUUGUUUGUUGAAUGAAUUUGCGUAUGCAUCUAUUUUAUUCCUAAAACAGUUAGUCAGAAAGAUGUUUCACACUGGUGUGAUACUAUUAUUUCUACCCAAGCUCUAAUAUUUUUAGUGCCAAGAAAAAUUGAUGCACCCGAACUAUGACACAUCUCUCUAUACUGAAAUUGUGGUUGUAUUGUUUGUCAUCUGAAAACCACACUCAAGUAUACAUUAUGGGACAUAAUGCCCAGAAAAUAAUCACCAGGCAUGGAUAUCACUGUUGACCUACAUAGUACAACAUUGCAUAAUUUUCUGGUUUUCUGAAGGUACAACUCAGUAUUAUUUUUUAUCAUACAUAGAUAGAACAAAGGCCACAAGAGCUGAUUUUGUGCACCUUGCUGCAUGGGCACCCACUUGAUUAAGAUAUUCUAAGUGUGAGCUUUUAGAUUUCGAAAUAACAAAUUAGAUUCUAAUUAUUAACCUGUGUUCAAAUUCUAAUGUUAUCUAACUCUGACAGAUUGUCUUUGAGAAUAAUUUGAUGAACCACCAUGUCGCUCUUCAAUCUGGUUCCAUGGGAAAGUAAAUUACAUCGCUCGAGCGGGUCAACAUAGCCUACAGGAUACAUUUCUAGAGCUGAAAUUUCAGGGCAUCAAGAAGUAAUUAACUAUGCUUCAAGCAAGGAAGUUAUUUGGUAUAACUUUUUUGAGGAAUAAUUUACUAGCUUAAUGUUUGGAAGUUAAUGAGCUGCAGAUAUGGCAUGUGGGUACACGAAGACCUGAUGCAUCAAAGCUCGGUGUGGACACCUCUUCUUACAUGACAUGUAUGUCUACAACUUAUCCGAGCUUCAAUUUCCAGAAUAAAACACAUGUUUUUAUUUAUUAUGGUUUCUUCUCUUAGAUAACCAAACAUUUUGCAGAUGUUGAUUUUUCAUUUCCUUCCAACGCCAUUAAAUCCCAGUGUUUUCUAAUUU